CAGGAAACCGUGUGCUUGAUCAUUUUGAAUGUAAUCCAGACUCAUGUGGACCUCUUGCUGAGUGUACGGUUACAGGCUGUAGUUGUGUUGCUGGAUAUGAAAUGCAGCAGGAUCAGUUACCAACAGCAGAUUCAUAUCCUUGUGUUGAUAUAGAUGAAUGUCAGAUAACUCCUGGAGUUUGUGUCCCUAACUCCAAAUGUAUAAACACCAUCGGAUCAUUUUUCUGCAAAUGCCUG